GGAUCAAAUAAUCGGUCGUGCCUCCGGUACGUACUGGUUUUAUUGGUUCCUACCUUCUGAAUAACCGGCAUGCCAUUAAUUUGGUGCGCCGGGGAAGCAGGACUGUUACCUUGAAAAAAUUAGAGUGCUUAAAGCAGGCUAUCGCCUGAAUACAUUAGCAUGGAAUAAUGAAAUAGGACGGCAUGGUUCUAUUUUGUUGGUUUCUAGGAUCACCGUA
rnacentral:rRNA from 1 species